rnacentral:rRNA from 1 species
UGGCCGGUAACUGACGUUGAGAAGCGAAAAGCGUGGGAAGCGAACAGGAUUAGAUACCNUGGUAGUCCACNCCGUAAACGUUGGGCGCUAGAUGUAGGACCUUUCCACGGUUUCUGUGUCGUAGCUAACGCAUUAAGCGCCCCGCCUGGGGAGUACGGCCGCAAGGCUAAAACUCAAAGGAAUUGACGGGGGCCCGCACAAGCGGCGGAGCAUGCGGAUUAAUUCGAUGCAACGCGAAGAACCUUACCAAGGCUUGACAUACACCGGAAACGGCCAGAGAUGGUCGCCCCCUUGUGGUCGGUGUACAGGUGGUGCAUGGUUGUCGUCAGCUCGUGUCGUGAGAUGUUGGGUUAAGUCCCGCAACGAGCGCAACCCUCGUUCUAUGUUGCCAGCGCGUUAUGGCGGGGACUCAUAGGAGACUGCCGGGGUCAACUCGGAGGAAGGUGGGGAUGACGUCAAAUCAUCAUGCCCCUUAUGUCUUGGGCUUCACGCAUGCUACAAUGGCCGGUACAAAGGGCUGCGAUACCGUAAGGUGGAGCGAAUCCCAAAAAGCCGGUCUCAGUUCGGAUUGAGGUCUGCAACUCGACCUCAUGAAGUCGGAGUCGCUAGUAAUCGCAGAU